CAUUUUUAAAUGCAUAUAGCCUCUGUGAUAUUCUGUGAUAUAUAUUGCUGUUCAGUUCAACAGCAAUGGCGCAACUCUUCCAAAAACCGAUCUGAAAAUUAGCUAUCCAAUUAAUACAAGAAUCGAUUUAACACUCCAAUGUCAAUUGACAUUAAUGGCAAAUACAAGAUUGAAGAUGGAAAAGUCGACAGAUUAUAAUAUAUACUUUUUAAGGGACAUUAUUUAUUUCACAUUGAAG
rnacentral:lncRNA from 1 species